rnacentral:tRNA from 1 species
GGGCCCGUGGGUUAGCUUGGCUAUACUUGGCGAUUCGGGGUCGUCAGUCCCCAGUUCAAAUCUGGGCGGGCCCA